rnacentral:rRNA from 1 species
UACGUAGGGUGCGAGCGUUGUCCGGAAUUAUUGGGCGUAAAGGGCUCGUAGGCGGUUUGUCGCGUCGGGAGUGAAAACUCAGGGCUUAACCCUGAGCCUGCUUCCGAUACGAGCAGACUAGAGGUAUGCAGGGGAGAACGGAAGUUCCUGGUGUAGCGGUGAAAUGCGCAGAUAUCAGGAGGAACACCGGUGGCGAAGGCGGUUCUCUGGGCCUUACCUGACGCUGAGGAGCGAAAGCGUGGGGAGCAAACAGG